CAAUUCUAUUUAAGGUGAUUUUGCAGAAAAAAGUUUUUUGGGAAUUCCACUCCUCUUGGGUGGUAAAUUACAUCUAAAAUUAAAAAUUGGCGAGAGGCCUACCACGAACAAGAACUUUGAAAAGAGAGUGAAAAAGUACGUGAAAUUGUUGAAAGGGAAGGGUUUGAGAUCAGACUCCAUAUUUUGUGAGCCUUGCCUUCGUGGCGGGGUGACCCGCAGCUUAUCGGGCCAGCAUCGGUUUGGGCGGUAGGAUAAGGCGUAGGAAAGGACUUUAUUUCGGUGAAGGG
rnacentral:rRNA from 1 species